GAGUUAAAAUACAUUAAUCCGAAGACAGUAGGUCGAGCACAAGGCGAGAUAAAUCCUACCGAGGGCAAAUUUACAUUCGCACCUCGUGUGCGUUUUUUUGUUUUAAAA
rfam:Candidatus Blackburnbacteria bacterium RIFCSPHIGHO2_12_FTLL_41_13b rifcsphigho2_12_scaffold_33332, whole genome shotgun sequence.